UACGUAGGGAGCGAGCGUUGUCCGGAUUUAUUGGGCGUAAAGGGCGCGUAGGCGGCGCAACAAGUCACUUGUGAAAUCUCCGGGCUUAACCCGGAGCGGUCAAGUGAUACUGUCGUGCUAGAGUGCGGAAGGGGCUACUGGAAUUCUCGGUGUAGCGGUGAAAUGCGCAGAUAUCAGGAGGAACACCGGUGGCGAAGGCGGGUCUCUGGGCCGAUAUCGACGCUGGAGGAGCGAAAGCGUGGGGAGCGAACAGG
rnacentral:rRNA from 1 species